rnacentral:rRNA from 1 species
AUUGAACGCUGGCGGCAUGCCUUACACAUGCAAGUCGAACGGCAGCGGGGACUUCGGUCCGCCGGCGAGUGGCGAACGGGUGAGUAAUGUAUCGGAACGUACCAUUGAGUGGGGGAUACCGUAGCGAAAGUUACGCUAAUACCGCAUAUUCUCUCCGGAGGAAAGCAGGGGACCGCUAGGCCUUGCGCCCAUUGAGGGGCCGCUAUCAGAUUAGCUAGGUGGUGGGGUAAAAGCUCACCAAGGCGACGAUCUGUAGCGGGUCUGAGAGGAUGAUCCGCCACACUGGAACUGAGACACGGUCCAGACUCCCACGGGAGGCAGCAGUGGGGAAUUUUGGACAAUGGGGGCAACCCUGAUCCAGCCAUGCCGCGUGAGUGAAGAAGGCCUUCGGGUUGUAAAGCUCUUUCGGCCGGGAAAAAAUCGCAUGGGUUAAUACCCUGUGUGGAUGAUGGUACCGGAAUAAGAAGCACCGGCUAACUACGUGCCAGCCGCCGCUGUAAGAC